GGAUGCGAUCAUACCAGCACUAAAGCACCGGAUCCCAUCUGAACUCCGAAGUUAAGCGUGCUUGGGCGAGAGUAGUACUAGGACGGGUGACCUCCUGGGAAGUCCUCGUGUUGCAUUCC
rnacentral:rRNA from 1 species